UGGCCUAGUGGUCAAGGCUAUGGAUCGCCAAUCCGGAAACAACGGGUUCGAUUCCCGU
rfam:Aedes albopictus isolate Foshan contig28216, whole genome shotgun sequence.